rnacentral:rRNA from 1 species
AUGGUUAUGGCUACGGUUCCGGCUAUGGAGCCGGUUACGGCUAUGGCGGCAGCACUGGUGGUGGUGGCGGCAGUGGCCAUGGUGGUGGUGGUGGUGGAGGUAGUGGUGGCAUGGGCUCAGGGUACGGCUCCGGUUAUGGCAGUGGUUAUGGCUCGGGUUACGGUGCUGGCGGUCAAGGUGGUGGGGGAGGUAGUGGAGGAGGAGGUGGCGGUGGAUCCGGCUAUGGCAGUGGCGGUGGCUAUGGGUCUGGGUCUGGGUAUGGAGAAGGCUAUGGGUCAGGCGGCGGCAGUGGUGGUUUUGGGCAUGGAAGCGGCGGAGGCUAUGGUUAUGGCAGUGGAGGUGGAGGUGGCUAUGGCGGCGAGCAUGGCCACUGAGCAUCAUAUAUAA